AGCUCAGCUGGGAGAGCACCUCCCUUACAAGGAGGGGGUCGGCGGUUCGAUCCCGUCA
rnacentral:tRNA from 30 species